GUCCACGCCCUUCACGACAACGCCACAGGCACACAAGGACGCUCUGUGUCGUGUGUCUGUCUGUUACGUCAGGACGCAAAAAGCACAAAGACCAGUGGAGCCAUGAAGCCAAACAAACAGUCUUUAACCUGCCAGCCGAAGAACUUUUACUUCCCUCAGGUCAUCAUAUAAUUGUAAGAUCCGCCUGCGAGCCGUUAUCUGGGGCACAUGACUGGGGCGAGGUGGCGGCCCGCCCUUCUGUGAGCGUUGAUGGGACCGGCGCAUCCAACCCGUCCCGUCAGGAGCCGCUUGUUCCUCCAGGACGCCAUCUGUUGCACAAACAUCCCUCAAUAUCACAGAGGACGGAGAGUCAAGGUACAGAGAGGAGAGAAAGGAGGAAAUUGAGAGAGGAUCAGCGCGGUUAAAGCCUUUUCUUCAUACAUAUUCUACUUCUAGUCUGAAAUGAAACUACACAGACAGCUGUUCAUAUCCGCAGCACAGAUGUUUCUGCUCAUUAAUGUGGGGAAAAGCCGUAUACGUUGGAGUUUUUCUACUUUAUAUAUUUAAUUUGAUUCUGCCCUUUUAGGAAAUGAGCAUUGGAACAGCGGCCUGGCAUCGUAUCAGAUCAAUGCCCCUUUCUGCUUAAAAAAAAAACAAGAGACCAAUGUUAUUGGUCCUGGUUUUAAUUCAAGGUGACCAUAGAUGACAGCCUCGAUGCUACGGCAUUGUGGACACCUGUUGGACAUCUGUUCCAGCCAUUUCACCCCCCGUUUAUUUUUAUUACAUCUUAAUUAAACCAAUGAUAUUACAUCACAGCUAUGUAAUAAAAUCCCACAAAGUUGUCUCUCUCAUAUAAACCUACCUCCGAAGUGGAAGGUUUCUACCAGUGGUCCUGUUGGGCUGUUUCAGUUUUAUUUCAAUUUAAUUUAAUUUAAUGUAAUAUGACCCUUUUAGAAUUUGGUCUGUCUGUAUUUUAAUAUAAAUUAUAUUAUAUAUUAUAACAUACGUGACCUAAUAUAAUUAUAUAAUGUUAUUUUAUCUUAUUUGGCAUAUUUUGGGAUGCAAAAGAAUGUUUAUUUUACCAAUUUGCACAAAAUAAAA